CUCUUCGAGGGGGAAGAGGGAGGGGGGAAGGGGGAACACGUAAAAUCAAAAACUCAGCAAUUUGCUCCUUACACCCUUGAAGGGUGGAUAUGUACUCUCUUCUACCAAUAAGGCAGUUUCUACUACCACCUGGACACAUUCAGGUUAACCUUGAGAUACAGGGUCUAAUAGCUUAAGCGAGUAUGCAAUAGAUUUCCUUUUGUCUCCCUAUUCCUGUGUUAGAACUCCUAAAACAACUUCUUCACUGACAGUUACAAAAAGGUGAAAUGGUUUCUUUAAGGCAGGCAGUUCUAACACUGGUGCUGUGAUUAAGUCCCGUUUCAAUACUUCUACUAAUUCUUUUCCCUCUUCUGUUCAUUUUAAUGUAUUGGGUUCUCCCUCUGAUAGUUUGAGAUACGAUCCCUUUUUUUUUUUUUUUUUUUUGGUACAUAUUCUUCUACUCAUAAUCUACAGUAUCCAAUUAGACCUAGAAACUUUUGCAACUUCCUUCUUGUUGUGAAAGGCAACUUAUCCAAUGCUACAUACAGAAAUACUGGAAAUUUCCACUGCAAAAACACAAUCUGCCUCUCACAACACCAACUCUAAUCCUGACCCAGUCCCUGACCCAAGCCAAACACUAACCCUAAUCCUAACCUUAAACCAUACGCUAACCCUAACCCUAAACGCAACCUUAAUCCUAACCCAACCGUACCCUAACCCUAAACCUAACCCUAACCCUAACUCUAACCCUAACCCUAACCCUAACCCUAACCCUAACCCUAACCCUAACCCUAACCCUAACCCUUACUUUCAACCUUAUCCUAACCCUAACCUGAACCCUAACCCCAUCCUAGCCCAAACACUAAUCCCAAGCCUAGGCAAGUCCAACGAGACCCCUUCCUUUUGAUUAGUGGCCAGGCAUGCCCCCUUUCCUCUGGAUUUUGUCCCGGCUAUCCCCCUUCCGUCUGGGUAAGGACCAAGGACACAGCAAGCCCUACUCCUGGGUGUGAGCCCAGCAACAGCCUUCUGCAUUUGUGCACUGCAAGCCCCAGUCCUUCUGCUUUUUGCCCCAGCAAGAUCCCCUCUUUCUCAAUUUCGGCAGGGCAAGCACCCUUCCUUCUGCAUUUUGACCCAGAAGGCCAGCUGCUUUUUGGAUUCCAAACCUGCAAGCCUCCUUCCUUCUGGUUUUCAGCAUAGAAAAAACUCUCCCUGAUGGGUUUCUGGCCUGCAAGCCCCCUUCCUUCUGUGUUUCACACCAGCAAGCACCUUCCAUCUACCUUCCAUCACACCAGCAAGCACAGCAUGCCUCCUUCCUUCAGGGUUUGGGCACAGCAAACACCGGUCCUUCAGCCUUUGGGCUCAGCAAGCCCCCUUCCAUCUGGCUUUCAGCACAGCUAGCCCCCAUUCUUCUGCAUUUUGCCCCAGCAAGACCCUUUCCUUCUGCUUUUUGGCCCAGCAAAACUACUUCUAAUUGGCUUUCAACCCAGAAUGCCUCCCUUCUGGGUUUCAGCACACUGUGCAUUGUUUUUUCUGGUUUUAUAUGCAGCAAGGCCCCUUCCUUCUUGCUUGGGGCCUAGCAAGAUCCCUUCCUUCUCGGUUUCUGCGCAUGAAGCUCUCCUGCUUCUGGGUUUUGGCCCAUCAAGACCCCUUCCUUCUGGGUAACAGCCCAGCAAGACACAUUCCAUUUGGGUUUUGGGACACCAAACGCCCUUCCUUCUGCCUUUUGGACCAGAAAGCCCCAUUCCUUUCUACAUUCAACCCAUCAAGCUCCCUUUCUUCUGGGUUUUGGCCCAGGGUUUGGGUUAGGGUUAGGGUAGGGUUAGGGUUAGGGUUAGGGUUAGGGUUAGGGUUAGGGUUAGUGUUUUCUUUAGGGUUAGGGUUAGGUUAGGGUAAGGUUUUGGGUGGGGGUUAGAUUUAGGGUUAGGAUUAAUGUUAGGUUUAGGGUUAGGGUUAGGUUUAUGGUUAGGGUUAGAUUUAGGGUUAGGAUUAAUGUUAGGGUUAGGGUUAGGGUUAGGAUUAUUGUUAGGGUUAGUGGUAGGGCAGGGUUAGGGUUAGGGUUAGGGUUGGGUUUGGGUUAGGAUAAGGGUUUGGGUUAUGGUUAGCAUUCGGGUUAGGGUUCGGUUUAUGUUUAGGGUUAGGGUUAGUGCUAGGGUUAGGAGUUAGGGAUAGGGUUAGGGUUACCUUUAGGGUUAGGUUUAGCUUAAGGGUUUGGGUUCAGGUGCGGGUGAGGGUUAUGGUUAGGGUUAGGGUUAGGAUUAGGUUUAGGGUUAGGGUUACCUUUAGGGUUACCUUUAGGGUUAGGUUUAGCUUAAGGGUUUGGGUCCGGGUGCGGGUGAGGGUUUGGGUUAGGGUUAGGAUUAGGUUUAGGGUUAGGGUUAUGGUUAGGGUUAGGCACAGGUUUAGGGUUAGGUUAGGGUUAGGGUUAGACACAGGGUUAGGGUUACGGUUAGGGUUAGGGUUUGGGCUAGGGUUAGGUUUAGGGUAAGGUUUAGGGUUAGGGUUAUGGUUAGGCUUAGGUUAGGGUAAGGGAUUGGGUUACGGUUAGGGUUCGGGUUAUGGUUAGCGUUAGGAUUAAUGUUAGGAUUUGGUUAGGGUUAGGGUUAGGGUUAGGGUUAGUGUUAGGGUUAGGAUUAGGGUUAGGGUUCGGGUUAGGGUUUGGGUUAGGUUUAGUGUUUGGGUUAGGUUUAGGGUUUGAGUUUGGGUUAGGGUUAGGGUAACGUUUAGGGUUAGUGCUUGGGUUAGGAACAGUCUCAGAUUUAGGGUUAGGGUUAGGGUUAGGGUUAGUUUCAGAGUUAGGGUUAGGGUUAGAGUUAGUUUCAGAGUUAGGGUUAGGGUUAGGUUUAGCAUUAUGUUUAGGGUGAGGGUUUGUGUUAGGGUUAGGGGUAGCUUUAGGUUUUGGGUAAGUUUAGGGUAAGGGUUUUGUUAUGUGUUAGAUUUAGUUUAGGAUUAAUGUUUGGGUUUGGGUUAGUGUUAGGGUUGGGGUUAGGGUUAGAGUUAGGGUUAGGGUUAGGUUUAGGAUUAUGAUUAGUGUUUUGGUAAGUGUUAGGAUUAGGGUUAGGAUUAAUGUUAGGGUUCGUGUCAGGGUUAGCUUUAGGGUUAGGUGUAGGAUUUUGGUUAGGGUUAGGGUUAGAGUUAGGGCAAGGGUUAUGAGUUAGGGUUAGUGUUAGUGUUAGGUUAGGGUUUGGGUUAGGUUAAGUGUUAGGGUUAGGGUUAGUGUGAAGGUGAGGGUUAGGGUUAGACACAGGUUUAGGAUUUGGGUUAGGUUUAGGGUAGGGUUAAUGUUCGGUUUAGGGUUAGGUUAGGGUUCCGGUUAGGGUUAGUGUUACGGUUAGGGUUAGGGUUAGGUUUCAGUUAGGAUAAGGGUUAGUGUUAGGCUUACUGUUUGGGUUAGGGUUACGUUUUGGGUUAGGAUUGGAGUUAGGGUUAGGGUUAGGGCUAGGGUUAGGAGUUAGGGUUUGGGUUAGGGUUAGGAUUAGGGUUUCGGUUAGGGUUAGGGUUAGGGUAACAUUUAGGCACUGGGUUAGUGUUAGGUUUAGGGUUAGUGUAGGGUUAAGGUUCCUGUUAGGCUUAAGGUCAAAGUUAGGGUAAGGGUUAGGGUUAGGUUUGGGUUAGAGGUAGGGUUUGGGUAAGGGUUAGGAUUACCAUUAGGGUUAGCCUUAGGGUUAGGGUUAGGGUUAGGAUUAGGGUUAUGGUUAGGGUUAGGGUUAGUGUUAGGUUUAGGGUAAGUUUUCGGUUUAGGGCCGGGUUAGGUUAAGGGUUACGGUUAGGGUUAGGUUUAGGGUUAGAGUUAGGGUUAUGGUUGGGUUAGGAUAAAAGUUAGGGUUAGGGUUAGGGUAUUAGGGUAAGUGUUAGGGUUAGGGUUAGGUUUAGCAUUUGGUUUAGGGUUAAGGUAAGCGUUAGUGUUAGGGUUAGUUUUAGGGUAAGGGUUAGGGUUAGGGUUAUGAUUAGGGUUAGGAUUGGGGUUAGGGUUAGGGUUUUGGUUACGGUUAGGGUUAGGUUUGAGGUAAGGGUUAGCGUUAGGGUUAGGGUUAGGGUUAGGGUUAGGCUUAGGGUUAGGGUUAGGGUUAGGCUUAGGGUUAGGGUUAGGGCUAGGAUUAGGGUUAGGGUUAGGGUUAUUGCCAGGGUUAGGGUUAGGGUUAGAUUUAUUUUAAGGGUUAGUGUUUGAUUAAGUUUAGGGUUAGUGUUUUUGUUAGGGGUAGGAUUAGGUUAGGAUUAGAGUAGUGUUAGGGUUAGGGUUUGAGUUAGGGUUAGGGUUAGGUUAGGGUUCGGGUUAGGGUUCUGAUUAAGUAUAGGGUUAGGCUAGAGUUAGAGCUUGGGCUUGGGAUAGGGUUAGGGUUACGUUUAGUGUUAGGGAAGAAUUAGGGUCAGGGUUAGGGCUAGGGUUAGGGCUUGGGUUUGUGUUAGGGGUAGGGUUAGUUUUAGGGUUAUGUUUAGUGUUAGGGAAGAAUUAGGGUCAGGGUUAGGGUUAGGGUUAGGGUUAGGGUUAGGGUUAGGGUUAGGGUUAGGGUUAAGGUAGGGUUAAGGUUAUGGUUAAGGUAGGGUUAAGGUUAUGGUUAGGGUUAGGGUAGGGUUAGGGUUUGGGGUUAGGGUUGGGGUUUAUGCUUAGGGUUAGGUUUUGGGUUAGGUUUAGGGUUAGGGUUAGGGUAAGGAUUUGGGUUAGGGGAAAGGUUAGGGUUAGGGUUAGGGUUUGGGUAAGGAUUAGGUUUAGGGCUUGGGUUGGGGUAGGUUUAGCGUUAGGGUUAUGGUUAGGGUUAAGGUUAGGGUUAGUGUAAGGUUUCAGUUUAGGGUUAGGGUUAGUGUAAGUGUUAGGGUUAGGUUUAGGGAUAGGGUUAGGGUUAGGGUAGGGUAAGGGUUAGUGUAAGGGUUAGGGUUAGAUUUAGGGUUAGGGUUAGGGUUAGGGUUAG
ensembl:lncRNA